rnacentral:misc_RNA from 1 species
UAUAAGGGACAGGUGAGUCAUCGAAUCUUUGAACGCACCUUGCACCUUUUGGUAUUCCGAAAGGUAUGCCUGUUUGAGUGUCUGUCAUACAUAUAGGUUAAAUAGCCUGAUUUGAGCAUUGCAUUAGAUUGCUUGCUUUAAAUGAAUUAGUCAGGGUUUUCCUAAAGUAACGAAGCGUAAUAAGUUUCGCUUAGUGAAAGGGAAAAUGAUGGCUUAUAAUUGCUUGUAGCACUAAAUCAAAUUAGACCUCAAAUCAGGUAGGACUACCCGCUGAACUUAAGCAUAUCAAUAAGCGGAGGA